UAACAGUCCUUUAGUUGAAUAAGCUGUGUGGCAACAGCUAUAGCUAUAUGUGAAAUUUCCUGUUAAUGCUGCGUGCUCUGCACCGACGGAAGUAUAAUUUCCGCUGAAAGCAGAGAGCAAGACUUGAAGAUGACUCAGUCUGAGAGGAGUGGCUACAAAACAGGAUACAUCUAUUCAGCGCUUUUACAGAGCGCUGAAUAGAUGGCAUGAUUUAAUGACAGAUUACUGCAGCAAUGGAGCUUCUUUUCCGUGUGUCCUUCUGCCUCCUGACGUUUCUUGGAAAAACGUUUGCUGAUGUCAUCCUGACUACAGAGGGCAGUAAUGUCUGGUUGAACUGCUCUCUCCCUGGAAAGGACCUCACACAUCAAGUGUUCGACUGGAAGAAAGAUGCUCAACAGGAGGUGUUUCUUUAUGCGGACGGCAAGCAUUACAACAACAAAGAAAAAACCGGUCAAGAUGAAAAUUUCAAAGACCGUGUAGAGUUUUUUGAAGAUAAGCUGCAAUCUGGCAAUGCCUCCAUACUUAUCAAAAGCACAAAGGUAACUGAUAGUGGAAACUACAGUUGUGGAUUUCCAGUUCCACCUGUCCAGAGUCAUACACUUAUUGUUGGUAAGUGCAGAGGUUUUGGCCCAAUCUCGAAAGAAAGGAACAAUUCGAACACCACCCUUUAAAAUACCUAUUAUCAUUUUAUGUACAACAUUUUACUCAUUUAACUUUGAUGUUUUCAUUUCACAUUUGAAAUUAGGAUAAAUUUGCUUUCACUCUUAAUCACUUUUAUUUUUAAAAGUGUAUUUAUUUUAACAUAAAAGUUACUAUCAUAUGUCUAUAUUUUUUGUCAAGAACCGGGAAAAAAAACUGAAUUUAAAUGUUAACAUUAAAUAUUUUAUUUACGGUUAUUAAAUUGUACUACAACGUUAUUGAAAAGCUCUUUCAGUGGCUGUGGAUGUUCUAUAUGCAGUCCAUAUGCAGUGGCUGUCAAAACCUCAAGACUGUUUAAAAGUUCAUAUACUUUAAUAUAUUUAUACUAGUAUACAUAUUUUAUGUAAGUUGAACCCAUGUUUAUAUUUGUGUACAAAUCUCUAAAAUCUAAGAAGUUCUUGUCAUAGAUAGAUCUGGAGGGAUAUAAGUUAAAUGUUUUUUACAAUAUUUUAUCAUUUUGAAAAUCUCUCAUCUAAUAGGUUUGAUCUUUACUCUGGUGUAGAGCAACAUAAUUUUACCUCAAAAUGUACUUACAAUUUUAUUUUGUAAAGAUACUGUAAGAAGAACAGUUUCGAUCAAACACAUUUUCUUCAUUUCUUUUGACAUUACGAUGUCCCCAACACUCUGCUUGCUUCACUGUCUUAUUUAUUAUGUAAGCUAGGUGUGGACAACAUUUCUGAACUUCUGUUUCCCAGGGUAUGUUAAUGCAAAGAUGAUAUUGCAUAAACAACUACACUUUCUGUUUUCUCCUUUAGAUUGGAUCUUAACCUCUUAGAGCUGAGUAGAGCCAUGUAUAUUUGCAGGUUUAUUUCAGACAGCUUGUGCUUUUCUUAAAUUUCAAACCUUUUUAAAAUAAAAUAUGUUUGCUACAUCUAAUAAAGAAAGUCAGUGGACAUUCUAUGGGAUAGAUUAGACUAAUAAUUAGACUUAUUGAACUAAGAUGGAUACUUUUUGAGAAGAGUAAGGUCAAAUGUAUUGUUCUAACACAGUUUUUAAAUAUGUUAACUAUAUAUUAUAAUACAACUUAUCAAGCUGGAAUUCACAGGAUAGUACUCUUGUUUUGCCAUCCACCUAUAUGUGCUUUUUAUUACUCAGUGAGUCAUAGAAGCUUAUAUUUUAAAAAGUGCAACACAUAGAGUCACCAGCAGAUGGCCACAGUUUUUAACAAAAAUCGGAUCAAAAUCACCACCACCCCAACACCCACCCCAAACACAAGUAAGCAUAAAGUAUUACAGAAUUACCAUUAACUCUUUUAGAUUUUCUGUGAAUUUGGAACUUUAUUAUCUUUUAACUUUAUGUGUUACAAGGAAACAAAAUAUAUUUCACUUAGUUACGAAGUUGUUCUUCCGGAUGAUUAAUUAUAGCCUAUAUAUAUUUUAUAUAUAUACAUAGCCUAUAUAUUUAUAUAUAAUAUUGCUGACCACAGAGUUCUUAAAGUAGAUAUCUGUAUAUAAAGACAAAAUGUUGCUUGUGUAGUUUCCUCUCAUAUAAUUAUUGUUGGCUGGCAAAGUCAGAUGCUAACUUUGCUAAAUGCGGUCUACAAAACGUGAUUGAUUUGUUUGUUUACCGACCUCAGAAAUAACGUGCUUCAUUCAGGCUGUUUGUCGAAUAAGUUAUGGAAGCCUUGUUCACAUAGGUUUUGAAAGUCUGGAAGUUUAGCCUUUACGUUUAGAUUACGCUGAAAUCCUACAAUAAACGAUUGCGUUUCAGUUUAAGUUGCACAAAAGUUUAGAAGCUGGAUACUCAACCUCUGCGAUUAUCAUAGUAGACCAGCUGCAAUUUAUAUAACCUAUUUGUUUGGGUUACAUAUACUUUUUAACUACUGUUGAUAUGUAGGCUGGCAAGUUGGUAGUCAACAUACGGAGAUAUUUGAAUAGAAAAACCCUGUUUGAAGGUUUGGAACCGCAUUUGAAGAAAUUUUGCAUAACAAACGAGAUUGAUUCAACUGCGGGUUUGCUUAAGAAACGUCUGUAAAUGCCUGGACAGUAUUUCCAGCUAAAUAUCGGGUCGCAUGCAACCUUCGUGUUUUAUGAGGUUAAAGGACAGGACUGGAGAAACUACAAGUGGUGUACUUGCAAAACCGUCAGUUACAACAAUCAAUCAAAAUGAUGACUGGGCCCAGCUGUGGUGUAAAGUUCCAGGUGCUUCUCCGAAGCCCUCUGUAGAAUGGAAGGAUCAUUCUGGGAAAAGGCUUUUGGAUAAAGUAGUUGCCAGUCAUGAGAACUUCAUCCUGGAGACCAUAGUAAACAAAACAGGCAACUAUACAUGCAUAGCUACACAAAAGGAACUUCACCAUAAGUCUAUUGAAAGUACAUAUAUACACUUUGCAGGGUCAAAGAACAGAGCAGAAGGAAGAAAAGCGAUCAAAUUCUUCUUAUUGCUGUUGUUGGUAGUGGUGGACUUGUUGCCUUAGUCUGUGUUUCCUGCUGCCAUCAUUUCAAGAUUUCCCAGGUAAAAUUACAAGGUGAAAGAAUUGACGUCGAGGGCAGAUCUCUGCUAUUUUGUUUUUUUAAUAUGUCACUAGAUAUUUGUUGGAGCAUAAUUCAGAGUUCAAGUAAAGUAAUUAAACAGAAGCAUUUUUUUUAUUAAAAAAAAAUGUAUUUAGAACAAUGAAAAUCAUAUUCCGCUUAAUUAAUUUCACUGCAAAAUUCUAUACACUUUGACCUUAUCUUCAUACUACUUAAAUUAGGUUAAUAUAUGAAGUGAACUAAAGUUGAACUAAAUCAAAUGCCAUGUUGUGACAAAGUUACAACAUGGUUAAUCACCAUUAAUCUCACAUUAAUGGAUUUCUUAAUGUAAUUUGAGUGCUUUUAACAACAUAUAAUUCUAGGUAGUAAAAUCUGAGUGUUUUUCUGCUUACAUCACAAAAGUGAUAAAGAGUGAAAAAUCAACUCAGAUGUGAAUGCAGAUGUAACUUCUCUGUAUUUUAUUUUUCAUCAAACUUCUUUUUACCUGUUACACAUUUUAAUAAAAUGUGUAAUAGUUUGUUUUUUGUCCGCUACAGAAAUUAAGACUUUUUAAAUCUUUUGUUACUGUUUUUUUCUUUUGGUGUGUUUAACUAAAGAAUUUCUGUUUCCAUGAAUGUUUUAAUUUACAAGAAUAAAAUUUGUAAAUAAACUGCUAUUGCUGAAUUUAUUCCAAAUGUAAUAUCCAUAGAAGCCAUUGUAUUGAAUUUUCUGUUCUUUAUUAUUGCAAGAUAGACAAAUUUAUGUAACCAGUUUUGCAGGUGGAAGAAGAGCUGUAAAGAUUUUUCAGUGGUUAUUUUGCUGUAUUGUUAUGGAAUUAAAAACUGUAACUAACAUA